rnacentral:rRNA from 1 species
AUUGAACGCUGGCGGCAGGCCUAACACAUGCAAGUCGAGCGGAUGAAGGGAGCUUGCUCCUGGAUGCAGCGGCGGACGGGUGAGUAAUGCCUAGGAAUCUGCCUGGUAGUGGGGGAUAACGUCCGGAAACGGGCGCUUAUACCGCAUACGUCCAUAGGGUGAAAGUGGGGGAUCUUCGGACCUCACGCUAUCAGAUGAGCCUAGGUCGGAUUAGCUAGUUGGUGGGGUAAAGGCGUACCAAGGCGACGAUCCGUAACUGGUCUGAGAGGAUGAUCAGUCACACUGGAACUGAGACACGGUCCAGACUCCUACGGGAGGCAGCAGUGGGGAAUAUUGGACAAAGGGCGAAAGCCUGAUCCAGCCAUGCCGCGUGUGUGAAGAAGGUCUUCGGAUUGUAAAGCACUUUAAGUUGGGAGGAAGGUCAGUAAGUUAAUACCUUGCUGUUUUGACGGUACCAAAAGAGUAAGCACCGGCUAACUUCGUG